UAAUCCCUGCCAUAUUCGUGAUUGCUUAAGUUUUUUGAGCCAACACCUUACCUUUGGGGAACCGGCUCGGAUAUGGAUUGCAGACCAUUCCGAUGGUGCUAUGAAAUAUCCGUAAGGUGCCCACUUUAAAAGUAAGGUUCAAACAGCUAAGAUUUACACGGUAUGGUGGGGAUAGA
rnacentral:other from 2 species